CAAUAAGCGGAGGAAAAGAAACCAACAGGGAUUGCCCUAGUAACGGCGAGUGAAGCGGCAACAGCUCAAAUUUAAAAUCUGGCUACUUUGGGUAGUCCGAGUUGUAAUUUGUAGAGGAUGCUUUUGGUGAGGUGCUUUCUGAGUUCCCUGGAACGGGACGCCAAAGAGGGUGAGAGCCCCGUACAGUCAGAUACCAACCCUUUGUAUAGCUCCUUCGACGAGUCGAGUAGUUUGGGAAUGCUGCUCUAAAUGGGAGGUAUAUCUCUUCUAAAGCUAAAUAUAGGCUAGAGACCGAUAGCGCACAAGUAGAGUGAUCGAAAGAUGAAAAGCACUUUGAAAAGAGAGUUAAACAGCACGUGAAAUUGUUGAAAGGGAAGCGCCUAUGACCAGACUUGUUUCUAUCAGUUUUGGUAGUUUUCGGACUGCUUUACUCUGUUAGUACAGGCCAACAUCAGUUUGUUGUCGGGGAGAAAGGCUGAGGGAAUGUGGCUCUUUUUUAAAGAGUGUUAUAGCCCUCUGCAUAAUACCCUUCGGCAGACUGAGGACCGCGCUUCGGCAAGGAUGUUGGCGUAAUGG
rnacentral:rRNA from 2 species